GCCUGGAUAGCCUAGUGGUUAGGCACUUGGUUAUAGUCACCCUUCCGAAAGCACUUUAUCCAAGAUGUAUCCAGUUCGACUCUGUUUCAGGCA